GUAGAAACUCUUCCUGGAAUUGCCUGCAAAUGCUGCAUCCUCAUCAUGGUUCCAUGUGUCUGUGUGGCUACUGGUGUGGCUUUUACGUAACUCACUGGAUGGAAGUUGUCAGCUCACUUGUGGUUCUGUUCUGAGAAUGAUGUGGGAUGGGUGGCAGAAUGCCAACCCAGGGCAAAAAGAAGCCAUGCAGAGAAUGCCCUUCCAAAGGCAACAAGGCCGAAGGGAGGGCAGCAGCAAGCUAGGGCCUGCACUUCAGAUGAGCAACAGAAACCUGUCCAGGAAGGUUCCUGUGGGGAUGCUGGAGAUGAGGAUGAAAAGGAGAAGCUGAAAACCUGAGCUACAGGAGUGAGACAGGAGAAACUGUAUACAGCCCCGCUCUCUUAAAAUGUGGACAUUUGAUCUUCUAAGAUAAGACUUUUUGAGCCACAAGCUACUCUUCUGAUUGGAUGUAGAACAAAACAUAGCAAGUCAUCGUCCACGUUCUUUCUAAACUUUGCAUCGUUGAAUGAAGAGGCCCUAUCUAAUAAGCUGUAGAACUGAACACUCCUCUUCAGUUUGAGAGGCUGUUCAAGCUUGUAAAGGCACGUGCAGGCAGCGCCACCAUGUGUUUUCUGAAGAGACCCAUAAGGCUACGCGGGAGAAGGAAUGAACGCCAGGACUCUCCCCAGCCAACGUAUACCUAAGUGGGACUUCUCAGUAUAAUAUGCUUGGCGCAUCUGUUAGGGGUGGCCCUUUCUCAGCCAUUUGACAACUUACUUCAGUCAAACCUAAUAAACUUCCAACUCUCAUUUUCCAAUUAUUAUUAAAAUUUCAAAGCAGGUAGGUGUAAAGUACCAGGUAUGUAGUAAACUGACUAUUUUUUCCCCCAUAAAAACAUUUGAAAAUUAAUAAUUGGUCCAUACAACUAAGCAGCGGUGUUGCGUGAGUGGUUAUUAAACUAUUA
rnacentral:lncRNA from 10 species